GCCGGGGUGGCGAAAUUGGUUAGACGCACAGGACUUAAAAUCCUGCGAGGACUUAAAACCUCAUGUGGGUUCGAUUCCCACCCCCGGCA
rnacentral:tRNA from 1 species